GGCAGCCCCCACCUCACACUGCUGCUCAGAGCCAAAGGAGUGCUUCAUCUUGCCUCAAGGCCCAUCUGGCUUGUUCCUGAGGGCCACGGCUGAAAGUCAAACUAUGGCCUGGAAAGCUCUUCCUUUUCUUCCACCCUUUCUCUAUAAACAGCCCUUCCUCCUUGCAGGUCCAUAGACCCAGCAAGAACAGGACUCCCCUACCCUCAGGCCAGUCAGUAGAGGGAACAGGGUAGAGCCGCAAACAGUCUCCAGGGUCUAUUCCAAUUCCAAGGGAGGAAUUGGUUCUAAGACGAUAGAAGCACUGAGGCUCAGAAAAGUUGGAACUUUUGUAGAACAGUGAUCCAUCAGCCCACCCCACCCCCGACCCCACUUCUGUAUGCAAAGCAUUCUCAACGCUAUGUUCCAAAACACUCUGCACCAAACGGACUGGAUUAAGGGGAGGGAGGGAUGAGAGCUGGGGAGACUCCUGACUGUGACCUGGUUUUGGGAUUUCCGUGAGCUCACAGUCCUCAGCUGGCCUUAUCUCCAGAGUGUCCAGACCACCUUCGAGCUGUGUCCCCAACCUCUGCAUGACCUCCUGCCUGGGAUUCCUGGGACCAGUCCCUGUUGGGGCUGCCUCUCCCUACGACCCAUUCCUCUGGCAGCCACUAAUUAAAUGUUGGUAUGGAGAAACCAUCCUGAGCUCGGUUUUCAAAAGUUUAAAAGCGUUUCUCCUUGCCAAAUCUCUCCUUCUGGGGUUCAGAACACAAAUCCUUAAACCUCACAUGAGGGAGGUUAUUUGUUAGGUCCAAGCAACACAGAUGCUGUGACUUUUGCAGCCCUCCUUGGGGGGAGGGGAGGGGUCUCUUCUGUUGGUAAAGGGAAUGGUGGCCAUGGGGCGGGGCCUGGGGCACGGGUGAGGAAGGAAGACAGCCAGAGACCUACACACAUCCACUGUUUCCUCCAGCGAAACAAGGUUCACAACCCCAGGCUGGAGAAUUAUUGGAGUGAAUCAAGUCAUUCUUAAAGAAUGGAACUUGCCUGGUGAGGAAAACAACCUAGAAUCAUUAACCCAGAGCCUCGGAGAAGACUGGGAGCUGCAGGGGGACAGAAUUAAUGGUUUACUCUUAACCAGCUUUCCCCUGGAUUCAAGGUGGGGAAAUUACAAAAAGAUCACAUCACAUUCUUUUCAUCCCGUGAUUCCACCCAGGCAAGUGCAGGUAAACACUGGUCUGGAAGAAGAAAAUGCAAUAAAGACAUCUGCACAGAACUUA